AGCAGGAACAAUUCAUUAUAAGAACCUCCAGUAAAUGCACAGUUUGCCUAUGUCCACCAAACAUACUUGCUUGCUGAGUUUUGCACUCCCAACUAUGAAGCUUCAUAGAGACCAAGAAUGAGGUGCAAAGCACAGAAAUCAGGAGACUGAUUCUUAGAAUGCCAAAUAUAAACUUCAAAUCAAUAUGAGUGUAUGCAGCAGAAGGGCAUACUCAGAAGAACUUCCCUGGAUGCCGGUGGAAGCCAAAACGAUCCAAUUCUCCUGCACAUUGUAUUGGCAUUACUGCACUAACGGUAGUAAAAGUUUGUUUCUUUAUGUAAAGGAAGCAGAUGUGACUUGGAGAAACACAGAGAACAGAUGUGCUGCUCAAAAGAUUUUAUUUAAAUGGUAAUUUAUCUGACCAUAAGUUACAUAAACUCACGAGCUUCCAUAUAAAGGCUUUAGAGAUUCAGCUAGAUCAGCCUACCAUUUAACCUGCAAUACUUGCACUCUGGAUUUCAACCUAAAGAAUAUAAUGAAGGAAGGCACAAUGGAUGUUGGCAGUAAAGAAAAACAACAAUUUGAAAGACCAAAAGCUUUGAAGUCCCAUAAUACAGGGUCUGGCAGAAGCAACUCCUGCUCGACUGUAGUUGGUAGAGUAAUAAUAUGGUGUCAUAAUUUAUAGUUUUAAUUUGAACAUUUCAUCUAAAAUGUGACAUGGUAUGCUUGAGUGUGAUAUUAUUACAUUACAAAAUUACAUGCUUAUGAUUUUGUAAUAGAAGAUUCUGUAAUAGAAAAGUGGUUUUUUUGUGCCGCAGCCUGUAUAUGUAUGUGUGUGUGUGUAUAGUGUGUGUGUGUAUAUAUAGAGAGAGAGUGUGUGUGUGUAUAUAGUGUGUGUGUGUGUGUGUGUGUGUGUGUGUGUGUGUAUAUAUAUAUAUAUAUAUAUCUGUUUAGCUAUUAACUUAAUUUGGAAAUUCUCAAAAACCUGAGAAGUAAUAGGAGAUAGGAAAUUUUAUCCCUUGCUCUUUGUAUGCUAAAUUUCAUCAUGUUAUCAACUUGUAAUAAAACCUAAAGACUCUACUGAAAUUAAACAUAAAAUAGAAAUAAAGGAAAGGUCUCUAGAUUAGAAUUUUAACUGGAGUCUCUGGUGAGAACACCUCUGCUAUUGACUUCUCCCAGUCCCUAAUUAAGGUCUACAGCAAUCUCCAUUACAUAUUCAUUAUCUGUUCACACAUGUGACAGUUUCUGAAAGGAAAACUAAAAAAUUCUAGUGCUUAUUAGAUACUUUUCCAUAUUGUAAAAUAUAAUACUGCUGUGGGACCACACAGAAACUAUAAAUUAAGACCUGGACAUGAUUCUUAUAAAUGACUGAAAUACUCUCCUUCAAUCACUUAUAGAGAACAUCCCACAAAAAAAUUUUCUAAUGUUUUUCUUCAUAUAAUAAUAACAAAUGCCUAAUGUAAUCUAUUGUCUAAUGUAAUUGCAUAAUAUUUAACUAGUUUCUAAUCAAUAUAAUAGUUGAGAAGAGAGGCAUGUCUUGGAAAAUAAUACAUACUUCCCCACUAAUGCUUUUUUCUUAUGUUAUUGCACUAUAAUUUAUAUCUACAUAGAUCAUUUAUAAUAGCCAAAUACAUUUUUAUGUGUUUUAUAUAUAGUAAAUUACAUAAAUCUUCAAGGCAUAGUUAAUUAAUGACAUUUUAUAUAUCUAUUCACCGACUGGGUAUAUAUGUAACCACCACUCAGUUUAAGACACAGGACAGGACAUGUGCCCAGCAAGUUUGGUCAUGCUUAGAGGUACCCACACCUUCUAGGUAACCACUAAUUUGAUUCCUAUCACCACAGCUUAGUUUUGCCUGUUCUUAAACUUUAUAUAAAUGUAAUACAGUAUGUCUUUUUAUGUCAGGCUUCUUUUUUCUCAAACAGUGUUUUGGAGAUUUGUCCAUUUUGUAUGUAUCAAUACCCACAAAACACCUCAAUAAUAUUAUGUUAAAUUUGUUUAUCUCUUUUCUUUUAUUUACAGCUUUGAGCUAGUAGUAUAAUGACAAUUAACAUUAAGAUUUCUUGUGCUUGAAAGAAAUGAGCUACUAAGCCAUUAAAGACAUGAAUAAACCUUAAAUGCAUAUUACUAAGUGAAAAAAAACUAUCUGAGAAGGCUACAUACUGUUCGAUUCCACUUAUAUGACAUUCUGGAAAGGUAAAACUAUGGAGAUAGUAAAAAAGAUCAGUGGUUUCCAGGGGUUGGUGGGAAAGUGGCAGGGGUCAAUAGGCAGUGCACAGAGGAGUUUUAGGGCAGUAAAAAUACACUGCAUGAUUUUAUAAUGAUGGAUGCAUGUCAUUAUACAUUUGUCCAAACCCAUAGAGUGCACAACACCAGUAGUAAACCCUGAGGUAAACUAUAGAAUUUGGGUCAUUAUGAUGUGUCAAUGUAGGUUCAUUCUUGGUGAAAAAAUGAACCAUUCUUGUGAGUAAUGUUGAUAAUCAAGGAGGCUAUGCAUAUGUGGGAAGAGAGAAUAUAUAGGAAAUUGCUGUACCUUCCUCUUAAUUUUAUUGUAAACCUAA